CACCCUUCGGCCUACUGGCGCCACCCGCACCCCGGGAUCCCUGGCCGCUGCCCGCCUUCCGGCCUCCCCUGCCGCCCCACUUCUUGUCGCCGCCUUGUUGAAAUGGCUCAUUUGCAAGCGGUCUCAGGAGAUGAUGGACAGUCGAUACUGGGAUCGAUACUGGGCUCUGGAGCAGCAGGGUCACCCAGGCAUGUGGCUGGACUGUGGUGGCCCCACAGCAGGGCAAGAACACUCACACUGUGGCUGAAGCUCAAGUCACCAGGAGGCUGCUCAGGAAGCCAGCCACAGGCCCUGCUGGCUGUCAGAUUUGACCUUGGGAGACCUUGAAGAGCCUGGGACUGGGACCAGGAGGGCAGUGGGUGUUCAACCUGGGCUGUGAUGACAAAGCCCCACAGAGCAGCCCCAGCCCCCCGGCUUGCAUGCUCAUUCUGACCCACUGCCACCCCAGGACUGGGUAGGUCUAGAACUGUCCCAUGAGGCUGUCGAUCUUUACGGAAGCAGACUUUCUCCCUCAGAGGGACUGAUGGGUUUCCAUUGCUGAUCCUUGUGCCCCUGGGCUCCUCACUACACAUUUUCCUGGGCUUGGUUGUCAGGCUCUAGGGGAGGAGCCUGCCUUGCUCCUUCCCUGGCUCCUGGUGGUCCCCGGCACCUCUGGGCUUCUGCCCUGAUCAGAUCAUGACGCUGUCCCAGUUGCAUGUCUCAAACGGAUCUCCUUUCUGCUCUGUCUUGUGUCUUGUAAGGACACAGCCCUUGGAUGUGGGAUUCGUGUUGACAGCCUUAUUUUUAUUAUGCUCCCAGACACUCUUCAAAUAAGGUCCUGUCCAUGGGCUACGACUCCGGCAUAUCCUUUGGGCGUGCCACUGCUCCCCAUGUCUGCCCGUGCCGCACCCCCCCCACCCACCCCCAGCUGCAGGUGACAGACCUACGAUGAUCCUGUUCUUUGACCUGUGGCUUCCGCUUGUCCUCGGGGGCUGGAAGCCGGAACUGUGGGAACUCCUGUGGAAUCAUGAGUGACUUGUGUUUCGAUGUUAGCUGGCCGGCUGCCGCCAGGUCCCUUUAUCCUCCUCCCCUCAGCGAAGACCAGUCAGAGCCGGAAGCCGAAUGUACACUCAAGAAAACACAAACAUGUACACACUGGAAGAAGAGAGCGUUGCCCACCCAGGCCUCCCCUCCCCCCAAAGAAAUCUGCAAACUGAUAGUGUGUGUUUGUGUUUGGUGAGGGGUGGGGGUGGGAUGGGACUGACAGCCACUGCUGAUAAUAAAGUUAAUUGUUAGCCCAA